UACGUAGGUGGCAAGCGUUGUCCGGAUUUACUGGGCGUAAAGAGCGCGCAGGCGGUCGUUCAAGUCGCGUGUGAAAGCCCCCGGCUCAACUGGGGAGGGUCACGCGAUACUGAUCGACUCGAAGGCAGGAGAGGGUAGUGGAAUUCCCGGUGUAGUGGUGAAAUGCGCAGAUAUCAGGAGGAACAUCAAUGGCGAAGGCAGCUCGCUGGAACGGUACUGACGCUGAGGCGCGAAAGCGUGGGGAGCGAACAGG
rnacentral:rRNA from 1 species